rnacentral:rRNA from 1 species
UACGUAGGGUGCAAGCGUUAAUCGGAAUACUGGGCGUAAAGCGUGCGCAGGCGGUUGUGCAAGACCGAUGUGAAAUCCCCCGGGCUUAACCUGGGAAUGGCAUUGGUGACUGCACGGCUAGAGUGUGCUCAGAGGGGGGGUAGAAUUCCACGUGUAGCAGUGAAAUGCGUAGAGAUGUGGAGGAAUACCGAUGGCGAAGGCAGCCCCCUGGG